UAUGGUCAAGCUACUAAGGGCGUAUGGUGGAUGCCUUGGUGUCAGGAGGCGACGAAAGACGUGGUAAGCUGCGAUAAGCUUCGGGGAGCCGCUAAACAGGCUUUGAUCCGGAGAUCUCUGAAUGGGAAAACCCAUCUCGAGUAAUAUCGAGAUAUCUGCUGCUGAAUCCAUAGGCAGUAGAGGCCAACGGGGGGAACUGAAACAUCUUAGUACCCCUAGGAAAAGAAAACAACCGUGAUUCCCGGAGUAGCGGCGAGCGAAAUGGGAACAGCCCAAACCAUCCGUACGUGAUAGCCCGUGAGCGUUGUACGGCUGGUGUUACGGGGCUCUGCCGGAGGCCNNNNNNNNNNNNNNNNNUAGAAGGUGAUAGUCCCGUAAGCGAAAUAGGUUAAACUCCUUGGGCAGAGUUCCCAAGUACCGCGGGGCACGUGGAAUCCUGCGGGAAUUUGGGAGGACCAUCUCCUAAGGCUAAAUACUACCUGACGACCGAUAGUGAACUAGUACCGUGAGGGAAAGGUGAAAAGUACUCCGGUGAGGAGAGUGAAAUAGUACCUGAAACCAUAUGCCUACAAGCGGUGGGAGAACAGUGGGCAGUUUAUGAAGGUUCGCCUUCUUACUGUCCCGUUUGACCGCGUGCCUUUUGCAUAAUGAGUCAGCGAGUUACUCUGUGUAGCAAGGUUAAGCCGUUAGGUGGAGCCGUAGCGAAAGCGAGUCUGAAUAGGGCGUCAUAGUUGCAUGGAGUAGACCCGAAACCAGGUGAUCUAUCCAUGGCCAGAGUGAAGUCCCGGUAAAGCGGGAUGGAGGCUCGAACCGUUGAAGGUUGAAAACUUCUCGGAUGAGCUGUGGAUAGGAGUGAAAGGCUAAUCAAACCUGGAAAUAGCUGGUUCUCCCCGAAAUAUAUUUCGGUAUAGCCUCACAAAUCAGUAAUGGAGGUAGAGCACUGGAUGGGCUAGGGGUCCUACCAGAUUACCAAACCCAACCAAACUCCGAAUGCCAUUAACUGUUAUUGUGGGAGUCAGACUGCGGGAGAUAAGUUCCGUGGUCGAGAGGGAAACAGCCCAGACCGCCAGCUAAGGUCCCUAAUGUAGGCUAAGUGGGAAAGAAUGUGGAAUUGCUCAGACAACCAGGAGGUUGGCUUAGAAGCAGCCAUCCUUUAAAGAAAGCGUAACAGCUCACUGGUCGAGGUUGUAUGCCUCGAAAAUGGACGGGGCUAAGUUAAUCACCGAUACAUAAGCACUCUUAAUAGGAGAUUGAGUAGGGGGGCGUCGUGCGUGGGUAGAAGUUUGGCCGUGAGGUCAAGUGGACCGCGUUCGAACGAGAAUCCUGGCAAAAGUAGCAGCUAAAGUAGAGUGAGAAUCUCUACCACCGAAAGGGCUAGGUUUCCUCGACGAUGUUCAUCAGUCGAGGGUUAGUCGGUCCUAAGUUAAUUCUUAACCGAAAUUAUCGAAAGGGGAACAGGUUAAUAUUCCUGUACUUAACAUGCAUUUGCUUAAAUUUUGACGCAUUCAGGUAUGCUUUGCAGGCUUGUCUGUCUGUUCAAACGUAUUAAAUCGGGGGAGUACCGUAAUGGUGAGAACUUGGUCAAAGCGUGAUGAAUCUACCACUUUUAGGUGGAUUAAGCUGAUCCUAAGUGCUCGUAAAAAGGGAUUUAAGAUGUAGCAUGUUAAUCCGUACCGAGAACUGACACAGGUGCCCCUAGCUGAGAAGGCUAAGGUGUGUCGGAUUAAUUUAGGCAAGGGAACUCGGCAAAUUGGCCCCGUACCUUUGGUAGAAGGGGUGCCUGCUUUGUAGAAAGCAGGUCGCAGUAACUAGGGGGCUCCGACUGUUUAGUAAAAACACAGGAGACCGCAAGUCCGAAAGGAUUAGUAUGGUCGCCGAAUCCUGCCCAGUGACGGUAUCUGAAAACCUAGUUCAAUAGGAUGAAGGACCGUUAAACGGCGGGGGUAACCAUGACCCUCUUAAGGUAGCGUAAUACCUUGCCGCUUAAUUGGCGGCUUGCAUGAGUGGCUUAACGAGAGCCCUACUGUCCCUGCCUGAAACCCGGUGAAAUUGACUUACUGGCGCACAGUCCAGUACCUUCUAGAAGGAAGCGAAGACCCCGUGGAGCUUUACUACAACCUAUUGUUGUGAUACGGUUUUUGAUGUGAAGCGUAGGUGGGAGCCAUCGAAGCCUUACCGCUAGGUAAGGUGGAGGCGCCAAUGGGACACCACCCUUCUUUUGCCGCGUCACUAACUCGAAAGAGAACACCGUUAGGUGGGUAGUUUGGGUGGGGCGCCACACGCUCGAAAAGGUAUCAAGCGUGCCCAAAGGUCACCUCAAGGAGGUCAGGAAUCUCCUGUAGAAUGCAAGGGUAAAAGGUGGCUUUACACGGAUUGAAACAAUAACAAUCCGUGUUGCGAAAGCAGGGCCUAGCGAACCAACCAGCCUCUUUUAUGGGGGCGGUUGAUAACAGAAAAGUUACCCCGGGGAUAACUGAGUUGUCUUCAGUAAGAGACCAUAUCGACCUGAAGGCUUGCUACUUCGAUGUCGUCUCUCCGCAUCCUGGUGGUGCAGCAGCUGCCAAGGGUGGGGUUGUUCGCCCAUUAAAGGGGAUCGUGAGAUGGGUUUAGACCGUCGUGAGACAGGUUUGUUGCUAUCUUCUAGAAGUGUUGAUGCUUGAAGGGAAAGACCCUUUAGUACGAGAGGAACAGGGGUCUGCAGCCACUAGUUUACCAGUUGUCUGACAAGGCAAUGCUGGGCAGCCACGCUGUAAGGGAUAAAUGCUGAAAGCAUCUAAGCAUGAAGCCUACCCUAAAACGAGGCAUCAUAGAGCUCGAA
rnacentral:rRNA from 1 species